rnacentral:lncRNA from 1 species
CCACGUUGGUGUGUAUGACAACAGGUCGAUGCCAAUAGCUGUUUCCAUGAUAUCUUUUGCCUCCCAUGGGUGAGAGCCAUGAUGAUGGAGCUGUGUGGAGCCAGACCGAAUAUAGCACCAUAUGCAUUGCAGCAGGUGGAGUCAUCCUUCUGCAAUAUAUCUCAGAAGCAUUCAGUGAGUGAGGAAUCUACGGAGUGACCUACGUUAAAGAGAAAUAUGAGUAUCAAGAUCCGUAAGAGGGAAAAAAAAAACAGAGAACGAUAUUUAAACUGUUAAACCUAUUAU